UACGUAGGGCGCAAGCGUUGUCCGGAAUUAUUGGGCGUAAAGAGCUCGUAGGCGGCCCGGUAAGUCCGCUGUGAAAGUCGGGGGCUCAACCCUCGAAUGCCGGUGGAUACUGUCGGGCUCGAGUGCGGAAGAGGCGAGUGGAAUUCCUGGUGUAGCGGUGAAAUGCGCAGAUAUCAGGAGGAACACCGAUUGCGAAGGCAGCUCGCUGGGACGUUACUGACGCUGAGACGCGAAAGCGUGGGGAGCAAACAGG
rnacentral:rRNA from 1 species